rnacentral:lncRNA from 1 species
GUGAGCAAGUGGCAGGUGGCAAAAGGCCAGAAGGAAUAUUUUUGUUAUUAUAUAAAUAAAUUCUAUACAUCUUAUAUGCCUCAUGACUUGUGUUUACCUGUUAAUUUGUGCAAAUGAAGAAAAUAAAUUUGGCGCAAAGAAAUAAAAAAAAAUAGGCGCUAAUUAAGUGCAGAUUGGCGCAAAUGGAAAAAGCCGAAGCAAAUAUAAUCUUUUCUCGUAUCAAGAUUUCAAGAUUUUAUUCAUAACCUCAGACACAUACUUGUGUACAAGAGGACAAUAAUAUAUACAACCAUAUUAAGAUAAUACAUAGCGAGACAGGACAAACGAAACACAAAUACAUAGUAUA